AUGGCCCAGGCGGUGAUUGGAGCGAUAGGCACCCUCCUGCCCAAGCUGGCCGACCUAAUCACCAAGGAGUACAACCUUCAGAGGGGUGUCAGGGGCGAGAUCAUGUUCCUCAAAGACGAGAUGGAGAGCAUGGAGACCUCUCUCCUCAGGAUUUCUGAGGCUCCAAUCGACCAGCCACUGGACAUCCAAGUCAAGCUUUGGGCCAAGGCUGUGAGGGACUUGUCAUAUGGCCUGGAAGAUAGCAUUGACAAGUUCAUGGUGCGCAUCGAAACCGAUGGCCGACCAGAUAAGUCCCAUAACUUCAGGAAUUUCAUUGAUAAGAGCCUCAGCCUGUUGACCAAGGGCAAGAUUCGCCACAAGAUCAGCAUCGAUAUCAAAGACAUCAAGAGCCGCAUCAAGGAGGUCAGUGACCGGCAUGAUAGGUACAAGGUUGACAAUGUGGCUGCUGCCAAGCCCGUCGGUCCAGCUAUUGACACCCUUCGCCUAGCAGCCUUGUAUAGAAAGGCCACAGAGCUCGUUGGCACUGACGAGAAGAGCGUCGAGGUAAUCAAGAUGCUGACGGAGGGAGAUGAGAGGUUUCGGAGAAAUGUCUAA
rnacentral:rRNA from 1 species